rnacentral:rRNA from 1 species
CAGUAGCCGCGGGAAUGCGUAGGUGGCAAGCGUUGUCCGGAAUUAUUGGGCGUAAAGGGCUCGCAGGCGGUUUCUUAAGUCUGAUGUGAAAGCCCCCGGCUCAACCGGGGAGGGUCAUUGGAAACUGGGAAACUUGAGUGCAGAAGAGGAGAGUGGAAUUCCACGUGUAGCGGUGAAAUGCGUAGAGAUGUGGAGGAACACCAGUGGCGAAGGCGACUCUCUGGUCUGUAACUGACGCUGAGGAGCGAAAGCGUGGGGAGCGAACAGGAUUAGAUACCCGCGUAGUCCCUGUCUCUUAUAC